rnacentral:lncRNA from 1 species
CGCCAGUGGGCAACAGCAACGGCGACGGCGACGGAAUACAUCAGGACUUGAUUAUGUUUCUUCUUCCCCGAUGUUUCUUGCAAGAGCAUAAAGGAACGGAAAAGUAACAGGUAUAUACACACAUGUAUUUAUCCCUCAAGAACAGGUUUGUUGCAAUCUGCCAAGGUGUUUGUUUUGCGCUCCGCUAUUGUGUUGUGUUGAGCUAUAGGAAUCUAAUCGAACAGAUUUGUUGUGCAGAUGGAAGCUUAUCUUAACGGAGGGCACCUCACGGCAAUCCUCUGCUCCGUCUACCACGGCAGCAAGAUCUAGCAGGUAUACCCACCCACGGCCACAUGCCAUGCGAGGACGGUGGUGAACUCCUUGGAUCUAGCGGGUAUUCGUUGACCACGGCGGCGAACUCCUUGUCAAAUUCGCCGCCGUCAACGAGCAGACCCAAGCGCAUCAUGAACUGCCUGCUCUGCUCUACCGCACUUGAUCUCUACAACCUCCACUGUUUGACAAACCGAGGCAAGUUGCACUACCAGUGACAUGGCCAUGCAUAGACACACACUUCGGUCAAGCUCAACAUCUGCUACACGAAGGCUUUUUGUUUCACACACAGAAUUUUUAUAUGUGAGUUCUUGGAGUGUCAAUUUUUAUAUGUGAGUUCUUGAAGUUAAUUUUUAUUUUCAUUCUGGAAUCAAGUCAGUCAUCACACUGCAGGUGAUUACUAUUAGCGAUGAUACUUAAAUAUUGAACCCAAU